rnacentral:rRNA from 1 species
UACGGAGGAUGCAAGCGUUAUCCGGAUUGAUUGGGCGUAAAGCGUCUGUAGGUGGUUACGCUAGUCGGCUGUUAAAGAUCAGGGCUGAACCCUGAGCAAGCAGUCGAAACUGCGUGGCUGGAGUACGGUAGGGGCAGAGGGAAUUCCCGGUGUAGCGGUGAAAUGCGUAGAGAUCAGGAAGAACAUCGGGGGCGAAGGCGCCCUGCUGGACCAUAACUGACACUCAGGGACGAAAGCUGGGGGAGCGAAUGGG